AAGGAUGUAGCUCAGUGGUAGAGUGCUUGCCUAGCAUUCUGAGCCCCCAGGUACAAUCCCCAGCAUCCUUA
rnacentral:tRNA from 1 species